rnacentral:RNase_MRP_RNA from 2 species
CCGCACCGUAAAGAAUUGCAACAAAGUCUUACUUUGUGGAAAGUCACCGGACCAUGUCACAGAAAGUGUGUGUCUGUAAAGGACAAACCCUCGGGUUACUCCGAGCAGUCUGUCAUAGCGAUAGGAAUGCAAUUGCAAACUAUGUUUGUAACAGAAUGGUGCUUACUCUUACGGUGCG